rnacentral:misc_RNA from 1 species
UAUUUAGCAUAACCGCUUAGGUCGGUGUAAGCGAGAGCAAAAUAAAACAAACUGCACUUGGAACGCAGUUGUCAUUUAAAAUCGAUCAAUACAACAGAAUUAUUGUGAAUUUGAUCCAAAUUGGAAGCAACUGAAAUUUAUAAAAAAUGUUAUUAAAAGGGAACCUCCUCGAAUCUUUAACAAUCGUUUCCUGCAGUGGCACAGUUAUCUGCAUAUUACUAAAUUGUCUAACAAAUAUAUCGCCGAUUACUGGAGUAUGGUUUUACAUUUAUUUAUUAACGAUAUUUUUAGUGUCUGUUUUCUUGAAUUUCAAGUUUAUACAGUGGUUGUUACGGUUGAAUAAGCCUCUAAAGUAUGACUUGGAGGGUUUGUUGGCGGAAUAUCCACACUUAUCGUUUUUGUCUCGUGUUCUGCCGGACACCAAACGCAGUAAGAAGGUUCCAUACAAGGAGUAUGACACGAACGAGUUGAGCGUGAUAUCCACGGUGUUGGAGAAGAGGCUGGUGUCUUCGUGGUAUAUAUCGUACAUAUCGGAGGAGAUUGGUUUUCCGUUUGCGUGCAAACAAAUGUUAGAUCAGAUGAUUGGCGGGACCUUUCAGAUAUGCAAUAAAAUAGAAACAAAAGACGUGUAUGUCGAUAUUUGUACAAUCCUAUCGUUACAUUUAAAAGAAUACCGGAAAGCCCUUAAACGUCAUGAAAAGCUGAAGAAACAGCCAAUCGAGUCAUGUUACAAUAAAGUGCACAUUACUGCAGACCCUACAAAGAAGAUCUCCACUGCUGACCACUGUACGAACAUUCUAAGAGUUAUAUUCAAAGAACUAGUACCAUGGGAGUUGUGGGACACUCCGCACUCUGAAUUAUUGAUUCGUAUUCUAGCAAAAAAAUUAGACAAUUUUAUUAGUAAUACACUAGUAGAUCCACUGUGGUUGAAUGAUAAGUUAAUGACUUUACUAAAAGGGGAGGAGGUACAGCCCGAAGAGGAGCCGCAGUCCGACUUCUGGGAGGAAGUAAAGCCAGAAGUCACAUGUAUUGAGACAGCAUUAUCUACAUUUAUAACUAAGAGUACUGCGCCGAUACUUCAGAGAGGUAUUAACGAGGAUGUUGUUGGGCCUAGUCCGGAGGUCAAGAAUCUGAACAUGGAGGCGGUUGAGGAGGUGGCUGUGGCCAGCGAGCCAGUAGAGAUCAAAUUGUCUCCAAUAUUGAGGCAACGAAGGGGUCGGCAGGGCAGGAAUGAAGUAAAGAUAUAUGACAGGAUUAUUGAAGGUAGUGUAAAGACCUGGGAGACUGACAUGGAUCUGCAGUGCAUCAGCCUGGGUCAGGAUUUGCUGGCGAGCCUGGACGGCGAGCUGACGCUUAGCAGGUUGUGGGGUCAGGACGGGAGCCCCAACCCCCCGAGGGCGGCGUCUCCGCAGCCGCUGUGGUUUGGUGAAGAAGACAACAUAGAGAUAGAGAUGGACACGAGCCCGCAGAAGGAGUCGAAGAAGGAGCACAGCCCGAAGCCAGCAGAUGCACUCCUCAAGGACAUCCAGACCACCGUCAGCCAGGCGAAGAACAAGAUCGGCGACCUGCAGGUCCGAUUAGAUGGACACAAGCCUGCUGACGAGGCAGCCGGAAUGAUGGAGGGGCUCCUGGACUUCGGGAUCGCCGGUCUGAAGAAAGGACUCCGGUUCACUGGGCUCAGUGACGACUCCCAGGAGAAGUCUCCCUCGCAUCGCACCAGCGAAAAGUCUGGCGAUAAGACUCCGCCCGAGCAGAGAAACAAGGCGCAGUCUGAAGCUAAGGAUAUUCCCGGUCCAGCGGUGCAAAGAGAAGAGAAUGGCAGUGGGGCGCCACCGCUACUGAAGCAGCAGAGAGUUGUCUCACAGGACAGUGUGCCCUGGCAGAGCCGCAGCAGCAGUCGCGCGGCGGCGCCCGCGCCGACACCCGCGCCCAGCGAGUCGCCCGAGCCGCAGUACGAGGAGGUGGCCGACCUGUCCACCAGCAUCGCGCGCCUGCGCACCCUGCUGCAGCAGCGAGCUCACACCAACAGCGCCAGAUGCGAGGAGGUGUGGUGGGAGGGAGCCGAGGAGACGCGCGGCCGGACGCAGCAUCACCACUCCAGCAGGCCCGUCGACACCGCCACACUUGCAGACGAGUAUGACAUGAACAUGGAGCGCAACUCCUCACCGGGCCAGAGCUCCAACAACAUGCAGAGACUUGACAAAUUAUUCCAACGCACGGUGACUGGUGUGUUCAAUUCGAUAAAGACGGCGGUGGGCGCGGAGGGCGAGGGCCGCGACGGGAGGGACGCGCGGGAGGGCAGGGAGGGACAGGGGAGGGACGACGCGCCGCAACACCCGCACGUGCAUGAUUGGGUGUAUGUGUGCACUUCGAUAGAGCACAGCGUGGGCGGGUCGGUGGCGCGUGCGCUGGGCUGCCGGCGCGCCUACUCGCACGUGGACGCCGCGCUCGACUCGCUGCGCCAGCUGCGCGCGCCGCCCGCCGCGCCGCCGCACACGCCCGACGACUUCGGUCGGUACCGACACCGGACACACUCUACACUAUACAGGUGGGCGGGUCGGUGGCGCGUGCGCUGGGCUGCCGGCGCGCCUACUCGCACGUGGACGCCGCGCUCGACUCGCUGCGCCAGCUGCGCGCGCCGCCCGCCGCGCCGCCGCACACGCCCGACGACUUCGGUCGGUACCGACACCGGACACACUCUACACUAUACAGGUGGGCGGGUCGGUGGCGCGUGCGCUGGGCUGCCGGCGCGCCUACUCGCACGUGGACGCCGCGCUCGACUCGCUGCGCCAGCUGCGCGCGCCGCCCGCCGCGCCGCCGCACACGCCCGACGACUUCGGUCGGUACCGACACCGGACACACUCUACACUAUACAGGUGGGCGGGUCGGUGGCGCGUGCGCUGGGCUGCCGGCGCGCCUACUCGCACGUGGACGCCGCGCUCGACUCGCUGCGCCAGCUGCGCGCGCCGCCCGCCGCGCCGCCGCACACGCCCGACGACUUCGGUCGGUACCGACACCGGACACACUCUACACUAUACAGGUGGGCGGGUCGGUGGCGCGUGCGCUGGGCUGCCGGCGCGCCUACUCGCACGUGGACGCCGCGCUCGACUCGCUGCGCCAGCUGCGCGCGCCGCCCGCCGCGCCGCCGCACACGCCCGACGACUUCGGUCGGUACCGACACCGGACACACUCUACACUAUACAGGUGGGCGGGUCGGUGGCGCGUGCGCUGGGCUGCCGGCGCGCCUACUCGCACGUGGACGCCGCGCUCGACUCGCUGCGCCAGCUGCGCGCGCCGCCCGCCGCGCCGCCGCACACGCCCGACGACUUCGGUCGGUACCGACACCGGACACACUCUACACUAUACAGGUGGGCGGGUCGGUGGCGCGUGCGCUGGGCUGCCGGCGCGCCUACUCGCACGUGGACGCCGCGCUCGACUCGCUGCGCCAGCUGCGCGCGCCGCCCGCCGCGCCGCCGCACACGCCCGACGACUUCGGUCGGUACCGACACCGGACACACUCUACACUAUACAGGUGGGCGGGUCGGUGGCGCGUGCGCUGGGCUGCCGGCGCGCCUACUCGCACGUGGACGCCGCGCUCGACUCGCUGCGCCAGCUGCGCGCGCCGCCCGCCGCGCCGCCGCACACGCCCGACGACUUCGGUCGGUACCGACACCGGACACACUCUACACUAUACAGGUGGGCGGGUCGGUGGCGCGUGCGCUGGGCUGCCGGCGCGCCUACUCGCACGUGGACGCCGCGCUCGACUCGCUGCGCCAGCUGCGCGCGCCGCCCGCCGCGCCGCCGCACACGCCCGACGACUUCGACGAGUGGUGCAGCGUGUCGGGUCCUCGCUGGUGUGCCCUGUGGGCGUUGCUGAGCGCGGCGGAGCUCGGACACUCGCACGUCACACACCGGAUCGCCACGCUGCUGUUCGCAGAUCUAGCAGAGUCGCUCAUAAGCAUGUGGUUGGAUGACUUCACGGCGUGGCUUAGAAAGCAGGUGUUUGUGGUGUUCGAGCAGAUGUCUAACCAGGAGACUACAUACGCGAAGCCGAAGCCGCUGCGGAAGAUGGACCUGGACGAGACCUGCAAGGCGCUCAUGGAAAGGGCUACAGUACUGCACGUAUUCGGCGAGGAGGCUCUCUCGAACUCUGUGAAGCUCGUGGUGUCCAGCUUCAGCCACCAGCAGCUCAACCAGGACGUGGCGUUGCGGCUGCUCGACUUGCUCGCUCAUCACUUCAAAGACUCCGCCGCGCUGCGUAACCCCUCUUUUGAUACCAAUUGAGUCUGGAUACCACCAGAAUUUUGAUACCAACUGAGUCUUUAGACGCCAC